rnacentral:rRNA from 1 species
ACAAUCCUACGGGAGGCAGCAGUGGGGGAUAUUGCACAAUGGGGGAAACCCUGAACCAGCAACGCCGCGUGAGGGAAGACGGUUUUCGGAUUGUAAACCUCUGUCCUCUGUGAAGAUGAUGACGGUAGCAGAGGAGGAAGCUCCGGCUAACUACGUGCCAGCAGCCGCGGUAAUACGUAGGGAGCGAGCGUUGUCCGGAUUUACUGGGUGUAAAGGGUGCGUAGGCGGCUUGGCAAGUCAGUAGUGAAAUCCAUGGGCUUAACCCACGAACUGCUAUUGAAACUGUCGAGCUUGAGUGAAGUAGG